UUCUGUCAUAAUCCAGUUCAAAUUUGUCCACAUUGUAAGCUUUGGAAAACCUUAGUUCAUGCAUUCCCAGUGGAAACCUGGGAGAGCCAAGCCAUUGUUUGCUGAAUUUGCUUUUGCAUUGUCUUUGUUCCAGUCAUGGCCAUUUUCAACAGCUAUUGCUCCUGACUAGUGUGUUGCUGGUAAAAGAAAUCAAAAACUGAGAGCUUCUCUGCAGUUUUCUGUGGGCUGCCUGCUGAUGUCCAUCUAACAUGGAUUAAGGAACCACUCAAACUGGAGAUUGCAGCAACAAAUAAAAGUGAACCUUACAGGGCCCAUCAUGAUGGGUUCUGUCAGGAGUGCUCAUUUAUGAACAAGACUAAGAUCUCUGCAUCAAAAGCCACCUUCCAGCCUUGCUCAGAAUACUUGAGAUAAAGGCUUAGAAUAAGAAUGAUUGAAACCCUGCUCAAUGCAAGAUAUGUAUGUGGCCUCUGUCUGUGGUUUCCCUCAAUUCACUCUGAGAUCUGUUUUCUCAAGAAGUUUUGGGAACUCUUGGUAAAAAUGACAACACAACCACUUCAUACAGUAAUAAUGGAUAAAAAUGCCUAGCUGCUUCUCGGAAACCAGCAUACUUACUUCACCUGUGAAGAAUCUCAUUCUUAAUGUCAAGUCUUCUCACCUGGGCCAGCAGGCUUGUGUAUAUCAUUUUUACUGUUCACUGAGGACAGAGUGCAUGUAUAACUCUAUUACAAAUAACCAAGAGAUUUCACUAACACUGUCAUUAAAAUUACAGCCCAUUCUUUGUCAUUCCAAACAUUUGCAUAUCAUACAAAUCUUUGCAGGGUGGCUGAUGCUUCAUUCUCUUCUAUUUGCUGUAAAGUCUUUGUCACAGGAGUUACCACUGCAUUUAGACAGACCUUGGAACUUACUCUGUAUUGUCAACUACUGUCUUGGCCAACACUAAAUAUUAUUUAAAGAUUUUCUUUUUUUUUUAGCCACAUACUCUAUAAAGUGGAGCUUCUUCCAAUCUGUGGCCUGAACUCAUGUCUGUCUAAUGAUA